rnacentral:misc_RNA from 1 species
CGCAACUUGAACGGAAUUAUUUAUGUGAAGUGGAAUAAAAAAAUCUGUCUACAUACCAAUGUUUAGAGUCUUACCAAAUAUCUCUCAAAGAACCUGUUUUGUUCCCUCAAAAUUAUCCCAAAACAAGAAAAGUUAAUAAGAGAUAUCAGAAUAUGUGUUUUUCUCUUUCUUGUACAACAACAUAAGCCCUUGCAAGCCUCUAAAUUAAAAUAGCAAUUUUUGAAGGUGCACUUGUCUCCCUUCUUGUCUUCCAAGGAAAGUUAGCCACAAGCUAGCUCAGUUAGAACGAAAUUGGGACUACUCUCAUGACUAUGGACAGUUCUCCUUUCCCCCCACCGCCUAUGGUUUCCUUCCUCUUGCCGUCCAUCAAAUGGCACUACAUAAGGAUUUUCACUGAAAAAUAACCCUUUUUUGAUCCCCUGUCUAGCCUUAUCUUCAACAUUCGUGUCAUUCAUCUUACCUAAGAGCACAUGAGAUCUGUCCCAAACAACAGCAUUCCUCAUAAAAGACACAUGCCAACUACCUCCCUGAGGAAAAUUGCAUGCAAGAACUCACUAAAGCACCUUUUUUACUAGCCAAAAAGCUAAGUUCAGCUAGUGAAUUGUUUAUAGAGGAAGUGUCAUACCAAAUAUCAUUG